GCCUUUUGGUUGUAAAGCACUUUAAGCGAGGAGGAGGCUACUUGGAUUAAUACUCUAGGAUAGUGGACGUUACUCGCAAAAUAAGCACCGGCUAACUCUGUGCCAGCAGCCGCGGUAAUACAGAGGGUGCGAGCGUUAAUCGGAUUUACUGGGCGUAAAGCGUGCGUAGGCGGCUUCUUAAGUCGGAUGUGAAAUCCCUGAGCUUAACUUAGGAAUUGCAUUCGAUACUGGGAAGCUAGAGUAUGGGAGAGGAUGGUAGAAUUCCAGGUGUAGCGGUGAAAUGCGUAGAGAUCUGGAGGAAUACCGAUGGCGAAGGCAGCCAUCUGGCCUAAUACUGACGCUGAGGUACGAAAGCAUGGGGAGCAAACAGGAUUAGAUACCCUGGUAGUCCAUGCCGUAAACGAUGUCUACUAGCCGUUGGGGCCUUUGAGGCUUUAGUGGCGCAGCUAACGCGAUAAGUAGACCGCCUGGGGAGUACGGUCGCAAGACUAAAACUCAAAUGAAUUGACGGGGGCCCGCACAAG
rnacentral:rRNA from 1 species